AUUUCUGCUCCAUGAGAUUUUAAAUAGCCGCAGUACUCUGACUGUGCAAAGGUAGCAUAAUCAAUUGGCUUUUAAUUAGAGUCUGGUAUGAACGAAUAUAUGGGUUACAGCUGUCUUAGAAUAAUACUUCGAAAUUGGAUGUAAGUGAAAAUCCUUACUUAAAUAAAAAAGACGAGAAGACCCUAGAAGCUUAUAUUAAUAUUUUGUUGGGGCGACAGAAUUACAUUUAACUAAUUCUAAAAAACGGGACGCGGGACUGAUAGAACAAGCUACUCUAGGGAUAACAGCAUAAUUUUUCCGUUUGUGACCUCGAUGUUGGACUAGGUAAAUCAUCCUUUAGAAGAGGAUGUGAUAGCUCUGUUCGAGCGUGUUUAACCU
rnacentral:rRNA from 2 species